rnacentral:lncRNA from 1 species
UUUCCUUUAACACAGCCUUCACUGAGAGACUGAAAAUCACGGCCUCACUCCACCACUCAUUGAGACUAUUGAAGAACCGCUCCACCACCGAGCAGAGUUAUCUUGCAAAAACCCACUCUCUCCUCCAACACUCUCAAAGUUGUCUUGCAAAAACCCAGCGAGCUGAGCAAUGCAGCCUUCAACACAACUUUGAGACGAUUGAAGACCAGUGAUUGAAGACCC